GGUAGAGGGACCGAUAAGGGCAAAAGUGGGGAGAGGGCGGGGAAACGCUUGGGGUGUUGUUUAAGAAGCAGCCAAAGGCAGCAUGGCCAGAAGGGAGGGUGGAGGCGUGGGGAGGGGAGGGGCCCAUCCUUCAGGAUCUCCGGGGCUGGGGAGGACCCAGCAUUCCUGGAAGCAGGUGGGAGCCACGGGAGGGGUCUGGGCAGGGCAGCGGUGUGAACGACCGACGGAGGCUCCAACAGGACUCUGGGAGGCGGCCACCGGUGAAGAAGACAUGCCAGUUAAGAUGUGGUUAUAUGGGAUGUGAUGUCUGGUGCCACAGCAGCCACUGGGACCCAUGAAGACGGGAGACGUGAAGAACCCAGAUAACCGAUCCAGGAAAAGCCCCACAUCCAGACUUCCUGUUCUAAGAUUUAAUUAAAUGCCUUCACCGUUCCAGGCA